ACCCCAAACCAAAAUGUAAAAGGAGCAUUACCUGGCUGGGUCUAAGCUCCAUAUAACUUGCUUGCAGAUGAUUUUGACUUGGUCGCUGAAGAAAUGCUACCCUUUGCUGCUCUGAGCCAUACCCCAGGCACUGGCCCAGAGCUGCCCCAAAGAUCCACAACCAUCCUGUGCUCCAAGCUGACCACCUCACUGCAGGCAGCAUCCUGAUCCCUGCGUGUCCUGCCUGCUGCGUGCAAACCUCUGUGUUCUUCCUCUUAUACCUGCCCUUCCUGCAGUGCCCGGGCCUGCCUGACUCAGGGAAAGAAGGCUGUCUGCGGCAGGGGCCCCACCUUUAAACUUCACACAUGAGUCAGCCUACACAGGCAGAGAGAGCACAUAACAGUUCCACAGGGUAUAUGUGUAUCACAGCAUGUGUGUCAGAGCACAAUGGAGCUCAGGGGACAACUUGGAGGAGCUGGUCCUCUCCUUCCAACAUGUAAAUUCCUGGAAUCGAACUUGGGUCCUCAGGUUUGCUUGCAGAUGCCUUUACCUGCUGAGCCAUUUUUUCAGUCCUCCUUCAGUAGUUUGAAUGCUCGCCCGCCUUCAGCUCUUAUGUUACUGAGGGCCCCUUGCAUGCGGUGGAUUGGAACCUGGGAAGCUUUCUGCCUUUGCUUUCUGCAUGUGGAUUACAACAUGCUUGUGUCAACCCCUUCCAUCUAUUGUAUUUAGGGCUGGAGGGUUUGGUGCUGAUGUAUUAGUGACCAUCAUCAGGUUUGGGAAGUGAUUACUUCUUCAAAUGUUUUCCUUUCUCUUUCUGGAGCCACCAUUAUACACUGGGACACUUGAGCUCCUUCAAACUCACAUCUGCCUCCAAAAGACGGUAUGAACAAAACUGUGUGAGCACUGAACACUCCACAGUCUAUCAGAUUCUAGACCCAGUGGUGGAGUUGUGCACUUUGGUAGCCAGUUGAAGCAAGAAGUUUAGUCUGUCAUAGUUCUAGAAGCUCCAAGCCCUACAUCAAUGCGCUGGCUGCCCCAGCUGUAUCAGGAGGGUCUCUUUGUGGUUUGUAGAUGACACACAUGAUUGAAAGAAAGCAACUUCUCUG
ensembl:antisense Gm29200 predicted gene 29200